AGAACGAACGCUGGCGGCAUGCCUAAUACAUGCAAGUCGAACGAACUCUUCGGAGUUAGUGGCGCACGGGUGCGUAACGCGUGGGAAUCUGCCCCUUGGUUCGGAAUAACAGUUGGAAACGACUGCUAAUACCGGAUGAUGACGAAAGUCCAAAGAUUUAUCGCCAAGGGAUGAGCCCGCGUAGGAUUAGCUAGUUGGUGAGGUAAAGCUCACCAAGGCAACGAUCCUUAGCUGGUCUGAGAGGAUGAUCAGCCACACUGGGACUGAGACACGGCCCAGACUCCUACGGGAGGCAGCAGUAGGGAAUAUUGGACAAGUGGGACAAAGCCUAGGAAUCCAGCAAUGCCGCGUGAGUGAGUAGAAGGUCCGUUAAGGGUUGUAAAGUCUUACGUUUACCCGAGACUGAAUAAUGAACAGUAGUCGGAAGAACGUAACGCCCCGGUACUAACGUCCCGUAGCCGAGCCGAGCCGUA
rnacentral:rRNA from 1 species